UGGCAUCAGAAUACAGUAAAUCAAACGUCAGCUCAGCUGUCAGUAUCUGCCUGAUUCCACCCCACCUCCAUACUGCAGGGGCUUCUUUGAUGCCAUCACCAUGGACCAAGAUGGUACCAGCCUAGUAUUCCGUGGGAGCCUGUUCUGGACUGUGUUUCUUGCAGGCCAGACCAGCUCCCCUCUACCUCUGCAGAACCGCUGGCCAGGACUACCCCUCACUAUUGAGGCAGCUGCUUACUCAAAUAUGGACAAUAAGUUAUACUUUUUCAAAGGCGAGUGUGGCGUUACUCUAGCAGCGAUGUGGACCCAGGCUUCCCCCUGAGGAGAAGUGAGCUAGGCCUCCCUGGACACCCUGACCAGGCCUUCACCUACCGCCACCUGGGCCACCAGCGUUACUUUGUGCUUAACUUUGGGACCCUGAUGCCCAACUCAUACAACCCCGCAGCCUGGGGGACUGGAGGGGCGUCCCCCAGAGGGCCAACGGGGCCCUCAACAACCCUGAUGGACAGGUAUACUUCAAGGAGCAGCAGUACUGGAGCUUUGACCCCGAGAAGGUGCAGGUGACUGGAGGGGGGAGGGGGGACACAGAGCUGGAGUGGACAGGCUGUCAUGGAACUCACGACAGAGGCAAUUAUAUACUGUGACCACAAGAUGGCGAUAACUAACUAACUGAUUCAAGUUUUUGGUCAGGGUAAUGUGCAAUGGAUAUACUCAGACUAAGCAAUGACAGAAGUCAAGGGAUUUGUUUAUGUUCCCAUAUUUUUUAUGUUUAUACAGUAUUAUUAAUAUUAAUAUUCCUACAUCCUACAGUGAUACAAUGUUUUUGUUUGUAAUGUGCUUGUUUUGUUCUAGACCGUAUUAAGAUAUUCUGUAUGAGUCAUGGCCCAUCUGUGGGCUGUACAUUUUAUUAUGAUCUCUUUUAGUCCUCAUUUGGACUAAUCUUCCAAGAGUCCUUAAACAUUAAAAUACAAUUUAUAAUACGAUCACAUUUUCACAUGUAACACACUGUUACAAACAGACAUAAUACACUGACAUAUUGACCAGUUAAACAGUCUAAAAAGAUAGAUUGAUUCUUCAUCUACCAUAGUCCAGCACAACUUUCCUAUGUAUUAUAUUAAAAUGGUUUUAAAGUAUUGUUUGAAUGUAUAUAUUGAAUGUUUCUGGUUUGCUCAGAUAAAUAAUUAAAUGUCUUUAUUGCUCUGAAUCGAAAUCAUUAUUUUGCCAAUUUCUCUUUUCUGCCUGGAUAACACAUACAGUAUGUGGAAAAUCUAUUCCUAGUAUUUACGGAAUGUCUGUCUCUUACCAACUGAAUACUGCUGUGAAUAGAGUUUGGACGUUUUAAAUGGUGUAUAUUAUGAAAUAAAAUAAGCAUGCAUUUUUCAAUUAUCUUGUUGAUUGA